AGAGUUUGAUCCUGGCUCAGGAUGAACGCUAGCGGCAGGCUUAACACAUGCAAGUCGAGGGGCAGCGAGAUUGUUAGCAAUAACGAUUGUCGGCGACCGGCGCAAGGGUGCGUAACGCGUGAGCAACUUGCCCGUUUCAGGGGGAUAACCGGUGGAAACGCCGACUAAUACCCCAUAGCAUCACAUUUAGGCAUCUCAAUGUGAUUAAAGAGUUUCGGAAACGGAUAGGCUCGCGUGACAUUAGCUAGACGGCGGGGUAACGGCCCACCGUGGCUACGAUGUCUAGGGGUUCUGAGAGGAAGGUCCCCCACACUGGAACUGAGACACGGUCCAGACUCCUACAGGAGGCAGCAGUGAGGAAUAUUGGUCAAUGGUCGAAGGACUGAACCAGCCAUGCCGCGUGAAGGUGACGGCCCUAUGGGUCUUAAACUUCUUUUGCGAGGGAGCAAUAAGGGUCACGUGUGGCCUGAUGAGAGUACCUCGCGAAUAAGCAUCGGCUAACUCCGUGCCAGCAGCCGCGGUAAUACGGGGGAUGCAAGCGUUAUCCGGAUUUAUUGGGUUUAAAGGGUGCGUAGGCGGUCUGGUAAGUCAGCGGUGAAAUUUAGGGGCUCAACCUCUACCGUGCCGUUGAUACUGUCAGGCUAGAAUGCGGAUGCCGUGGGAGGAAUGUGUGGUGUAGCGGUGAAAUGCAUAGAUAUCACACAGAACACCGAUUGCGAAGGCAUCUCACGAAUCCGCGAUUGACGCUGAUGCACGAAAGCGUGGGGAUCAAACAGGAUUAGAUACCCUGGUAGUCCACGCUGUAAACGAUGAUGACUAACCGUCGGCGAUACACAGUCGGUGGCCAAGCGAAAG
rnacentral:rRNA from 1 species